UGUGUUCUCCUUUUCUGGUCACGAAAAGAUAUGAAAGGGAAAGAAACAAAAAACUAUGGAUCAUUUAGGUGAAUAUACAAAAAGAACACGAUAAUUGCAGAUGUAUGCACAGUUUGAAAGUAUUUGCAGAUAUGGUUAUUUAUCGGGUAUGAUCUGACAAUAUUACCCUAUACAUAAAAUGAUAAAGUUACGCUUGACUAUGACUUUAUAUAGUGAAUAUCUGGAAGAAUCCAUCAAAGAAAUUAUGAAUUCUUCAUAAGAAAAAUCCCUAGAAAAGAAAGCAGCUCGCCAUCAUCAUCAUCAUCAUCACAGCGAAAGCAGCUCACCAUCAUCAUCAUUCACAUGGAUUGAUUCAUCCGGAUUACAAGAUCAGAUUUAUUGCCUUAUUUUUAGCAUGUUUAUAAACAAAUAUCAAUAAUUCAGUGGUCACAAAGGGAACAACACCAUCCCGGAUCAAAAACGCCGGAGUCCAGAAAGGAAAUUCCCAAUCUGCCAUUUGAGAAAGCUGUUUAUGAAACAGGGUGAAGGGUGUACCAGAAAUACGAGAUCGGUGAGGCGUCGAGAGGAUCUGGUGGUUCCAGCGGUUCAAGAGGAGAGAAAGCUUCAAGCGGCAGAAUAGACACCAACGCAACGGUGGAUCGGGAGUUGGACGGAAACGCGCGGAGGACGGAGACACAAUGGAGGAGAAGAGAGCAUUGGCACCAUGGAAGGGGGUAAUUGAUUCAAGGGAAAGAGAUGUAACCAUUUAAUCAGAGCUCGAGCAUGGUUUCAAACGCCUAUUAUUCGACGACGAAGAAGAAUCAACCACGAACUGUUUAGAUCUCCGGCAAAUCGUAUUUUGGUAAUGGCUUCGAGGUCGUAAUCACCAUCUCCGAUGAAGAACGAGAUAUUAACCACCACCUCUGAUGAAGAAGAAGAGGAGCAUGUGACUAAUAAGGUGAAAACUCAAAAGCAAUGGAGCAUUGGGUGAAAAUUGAUUUUUUUUUCACUGCAACUAUCAUAGAAAUUAAAAAAUAUAUAUACUUUCGUAAUUUAGGACUAGGGGCAUUUGUGGGAUUAUGAAAUGUCCAACAGUGGUUUUCCAUAUACCUAAUUAAGUUUAGUUUUAUAGGUACGUAGUGCAAAUUCCCAAACUAUUAUGUGCCAGUUUUUCGAAAUGUUUUUGAAAUUGAAGGGGUUGGACUAAAACGUGACAUAGAUAUGAGCAGUAAGCAUCUGAAUUUGGGCCCGCGUUUGUGGGCCAAGGUGCAUAUGUCUAUGGAUAAUCACAUGACGUGUUCCGCUCUUAGCUGUUGGUUAUGUGGUCCUACGUAGAGUUGAACGCAUCUGUCCACUACUGCACAUCGUUAAGAGACUACCAAUAUGGCUUUGCCGACACUUUCCUAUUCCUUCGGUUUACUAUUUUAACAUCUCUUUUCUAUACCGGCCACUAUCCCACGUGGAUAGUGGAAACAGAGAAGGACAAGCUCAAUGGGUCCACCUUGUGGCUUUUGGAAAUUCGGCUGUUUAAACCAAGACAACACUUCUCUUACAAGAAGAAGAAUGAGACUGAAAAGCGCAAUAACUGUUUUUAGAGCACCAUUAACGGGGGCUUUUAAGAGGGUUUCUAAAAAUAUUGAAGCAUUUAAUUAAAUCAAAACUCAAAAAAAUUGUUGUUAUCGAUCCUUAAUAUAGGAUUUCUGUAACCGAUUACAAAGGGGGUUUUCAACCCACGUGUCAGCAAACUAAAUAAUGAGGCAUUUUUUUUUCUUCUUUCUCGUCUUCUCUUUCUGCAAACGACAAUGGCUUCUCGAUCUCUCUCCUUCUUCAAGUUUCAGAGUAAACCACAAUUGGGCAUGUAGAUCACGGGAAGACUGCUUUGACUGCUGCAAUCACAAAGGUUCUUGCUGAAGAGAGAAAAGCUAAAGCUAUUGCCUUUGAUGAAAUUGAUAAAGCUCCCGAAGAGAAGAAGAGAGGAAAUACUAUUGCUACAUGGGAGCAUUGAGAGAUUCAUCACAGAGUGGAGCAUUGGGAGCAUCUCGUGGGCAUACCACUCCCGCUUUGUUCUAUCUUGCUUUGGGAGGGUCCUUGUUAUCUUAUAUAUACUCUGCUCCACCUCUUAAGUUGGGAAUAGCGAUUGUUUAUAACUUCAAAAGUGUUGAAGGAGACAGAGCAAUGGGCCUUCAGUCUCUCCUAGUAGCUUUUGGCACUGAGGCUGCAAAAUGGAUAUGCGUUAGUGCUAUAGACGUUACUCAGAUCUCUGUUGCCGGUAUGUAGUAUGACUUCUAUUUCUUGUGCUUGAUCUUAUGAACUAGAGGAUCAUUAGUGAAUGUCUAUUCUGGUUGUAGUGUAUCUUGUAGUGAAAGUAUUGUUUUUAAAACUCUUCUCCAAACAAGUGUAAAACAAAUUCUCUCCUUCUCUAUAUAAAAUCAUCUACAUUCCUUCUUUA